CACAAAACAAAAGUCUUUCUGUGAAACAGUGGGCCACACACAGGCUGCACCCCUGAGGGUUCCAUUUCCCUAAGCCUGGAUCCUGGAGGCCCCUGCCUGUAAGACUAGAAAAGCUGCUAAUACCAAGCCCCGCUCCUCAAGACAGAGCAGGGGAGAAGUUACCCCACUCCCUCAGACCCACUUUAGUUGGUGCCAUUUCUAUGCAAUGCUGUUCAGGCAACAUGCAUGAGGCAGGAAAAAUAUUAUCCCUUCUACCCGUAGAUUUCUAACUGUUCACAUUUGCGCUGUUAAAAGAAAGCAGAGGGUGCCGAAUUACACUCCAGAGACACAGAGCAAAUAUAAGCAGGCAGCCUGUGGGGAAUGGCAGCAGGGCCCCAGCUUUGGGGGUCAGGCAUUAGUGCAGGGAGAUGGCAGCAAGACCCCAGCUAAGCCCCUCCCUGUCUGAAAUCGCUCAUGUUAAAUGCAGAUUUUUCCUACCACCACACCCCUCAGAAAGAGCUGGAGCAAAACAGCAAAAGGGGCUGGAAGCCGAAAGAAGAGGAAAAUAAAUAAAUAAAUCCAAACCCUUUGCCAGAGCCUGAGCGCAGCUGCUUGGCUGAGUCUCCUCAGCAGCUGGGAUGCCCUCUUUUCCCCCCUUCUCUCCUCCCCUCUCCAGCUUGCCUCUGCUUUCUCCAGUGACCCAGCUGCGCGUGAGCCAAGUGCGCCUUGGGAGCUGGGAAUCAGCCCUGCACUCACUGGAAGCCACAUUCCAGGGCAUUCAACCAAAAAAACACACCAACCACAGACAGGAAGAGGCAGCUAUAGAAGGGUCAGGAAAUGCUUGGCCAGCUCACAUGAGGCUGCACAUCCCAGAAUGCCAGAAGCUGAUUCAAAAUGGAUGACUAUUUUUCUGGAGACUAUCAGACUGAGUAAGGAGAACACUCAUAGAGAGGAAAGAGGAGGAAAACAGGCCAGAGUGGUAAAGUUUACGCAUAUACAUUGUGUAGGCAUCCAGAACACAGAUUCACCCACAGGAUAAUCUGCAGUUUGCUUUCCAGUCAGUCCUAUUGCCAUAUCAUACCCUCCUCUGUAUUAUACCAGUAGGGCACUCUGGCUUAGUCUCUUCACUAUAGCAUCCUUCACUUGGCCCCCUAAGCACAGAUGUCCAAGAGAACAAAAAAUAG
rnacentral:lncRNA from 1 species